GGGAGACCGGGUACAAAAGUAACGGCGGGUCGAAAGUAACAAAUGCUCUCUAGAUUCAUCCAAUGGUCGAACAUAGCUUCGCCGCCGUCAGGCGAUAGCUGAAAGCGCCCCCCUCACUUGUAGUUAGUCGCCGUGUACUUAAAGCACUGUUAGGUUGUGUGAGAGGAUACUACGUGGUUUUACAAACCAAAAGUUAUAUUUCAUGUUUCAACAAAAAUGAGGAAGGGUACAAAAGUAACAUAGUCCUAUGGGUACACAAGUAACAAGUUACUUUUGUCCCCGUAAUGAUUUAAUUACCUUUACCCCAACAGAAUGCCGCGACAACGCAUAAGAACAACUACACGACACAUAAGUGUAUAGAAAAGCGGCGGAUAAUUUUUUUACUGAAAGGUGGCACGAUAGUCUGGAAAUGGCUGGUAAUGAAUGGUUGACGGUUUUUUAAAACGACACCCGAGCCUCUGUUUGAGAUCUCAGAGUUUCAACGAACAUAAUGUGAGCAAAGUUUUUGAUAAUCUUGCAGAGGUAAUUGAUAGGUACAAAUUUGAUCCAAAAGAUAUCUGGAAUAUGGAUGAGACAGGGGUCCACUGUCCAAACUUAGCACGAUUGUUGCUCAAAAAGGAACUGAACAAAUAGGUGCAGUAACCUCAGCAGAACGUGGAAGAUUAGUAACUGUUGCUGUUGCGAUUAAUGCUCAAGGAGGACACAUACCUCCUUUUUUCGUCUUCCCAUUGAAACAAUUCCAAGACCACAUGAUACUUGAGGGACCUGUUGGUUGUGCCGGAGCUGGCAAUGCCGGAUGGAUGCAGAAUGCAGAACUUUUACUUUUUACAUAAAUACUUGUUGAUAAUAAACAAGUAUUACAUA